rnacentral:rRNA from 1 species
AUUGAACGCUGGCGGCAGGCCUAACACAUGCAAGUCGAGCGGAUGAAGGGAGCUUGCUCCUGGAUUCAGCGGCGGACGGGUGAGUAAUGCCUAGGAAUCUGCCUGGUAGUGGGGGAUAACGUCCGGAAACGGGCGCUAAUACCGCAUACGUCCUGAGGGAGAAAGUGGGGGAUCUUCGGACCUCACGCUAUCAGAUGAGCCUAGGUCGGAUUAGCUAGUUGGUGGGGUAAAGGCCUACCAAGGCGACGAUCCGUAACUGGUCUGAGAGGAUGAUCAGUCACACUGGAACUGAGACACGGUCCAGACUCCUACGGGAGGCAGCAGUGGGGAAUCUUGGACAAUGGGCGAAAGCCUGAUCCAGCCAUGCCGCGUGUGUGAAGAAGGUCUUCGGAUUGUAAAGCACUUUAAGUUGGGAGGAAGGGCAGUAAGAUAAUACCUUGCUGUUUUGACGUUACCAACAGAAUAAGCACCGGCUAACUUCGUG